rnacentral:rRNA from 1 species
CCUACGGGUGGCAGCAGUGAGGAAUAUGGGUCAAUGGGCGCGAGCCUGAACCAGCCAAGUCGCGUGAGGGAGGACGGCCCUACGGGUUGUAAACCUCUUUUGCCGGGGAGCAACGGGCGUCACGUGUGGCGCCACUGAGAGUACCCGGAGAAAAAGCAUCGGCGAACUCCGUGCCAGCAGCCGCGGUAAUACGGAGGAUGCGAGCGUUAUACGGAUGUAUUGGGUGUAAAGGGGGCGUAGGCGCGUCGUUAAGUCAGUGGUCAAAUUUGGGGGCUCAACCCCUGCCCGCCAUGGAAACUGGCGCUCUUGAGUGGAAGAGAAGUAUGCGGAAUGCGUGGUGUAGCGGUGAAAUGCAUAGAUAUCACGCAGAACCCCGAUUGCGAAGGCAGCAUGCCGGCUUCCGACUGACGCUGAAGCACGAAAGCGUGGGGAUCGAACAGGAUUAGAUACCCUUGUAGUC